AACCGAAACAAGGGUAUGUCCCUUGUCUGCUGAGGAUAACCUCUCAGCACUGAUGAGGUAGGUUAAA
rnacentral:hammerhead_ribozyme from 2 species